rnacentral:rRNA from 1 species
CCCUUAGAUGUCCUGGGCUGCACGCGCGCUACACUGACACAUUCAGCGAGUUUUUCCUUAUCCGGUAGGAUUGGGUACUCUUUUGAACGUGUGUCGUGAUGGGGAUAGAUUAUUGCAAUUAUUAAUCUUCAACGAGGAAUUCCUAGUAAGUGCAAGUCAUCAGCUUGCAUUGAUUACGUCCCUGCCCUUUGUACACACCGCCCGUCGCACCUACCGAUUGAAUGGUCCGGUGAAAUCUCGGGACGGCGGCUUGGUCGCUUGCGUCCGACUGCUGAAACUUGAUUAAACCAUAUCAUUUAGAGGAAGGUGAAGUCGUAACA